GGAAGGCAUCAAUGUCUCCAACAGCAGGAAUGAAGUCUGGAAUAAAAGGCUGCAGUUUGUGCUCAAUCUCUAUCGUUUUCGGAGUGUACCUCCUUAUAUAUUCAAAGAGUUCCUUAAUUUCAGGGGAUACUGGCAGGUAGUCGUAGUCUGCUAGGUUGUAGUCACCCUCCAGCGGAGCCCCGCGCUCCUCCGAGUCGUCCUCUGAGUCGCUCUCGGAGGAGUCCUCAUCAUCGUCGUCAUCGUCGUCGUCGUCAUCGUCGUCGUCGUCGUCCUCGCUGGCGGCGGAGGGUCCCGGCCGGGCCGCCGUUUCCUUGCUGCCACCGCCCUCCCCGUCGUUGCUGCGCUCUCCCGCGCCGCUGGGCCGCGCUCCCGGCCCGCCGCCUCCCGACCAGGGCGGCCCCGGCCGGCGGGAGCCCCGCGGGCGGUUCGCGCUCCCCGCCGCCUCCUCGGUCUCCGGCAGCUCCAGGCUCUCGUCGUACGGCUGGUUCUCCACCGGGAGAGGCUGGGCGGAGGGACGCGGGGAGGCGACGGCGCGGCCCGUCCCGUCCCCGCUCCCCUCGGACGGCCGCCGCUCCGCCAUGACGCCGCCUUCCGUCGCCAUGGCGACCCCGUCUCGCUCGCCCCUGCCCGGCUAGAGCGGCGCCCGCGGCCCGGCCCGGCGUAUGCGGGGCGCUACCGUCUCC
rnacentral:lncRNA from 1 species